rnacentral:rRNA from 1 species
GAUGAACGCUAGCUACAGGCUUAACACAUGCAAGUCGGGGGGAAACGAUAGAGAAAGCUUGCUUUUUCUAGGCGUCGACCGGCGCACGGGUGAGUAACGCGUAUCCAACCUGCCCAUCACUUGGGGAUAACCUUGCGAAAGUAAGACUAAUACCCAAUGACGUCUCUAGAAGACAUCUGAAGGAGAUUGAAGAUUUAUCGGUGAUGGAUGGGGAUGCGUCUGAUUAGCUUGUUGGCGGGGUAACGGCCCACCAAGGCGACGAUCAGUAGGGGUUCUGAGAGGAAGGUCCCCCACAUUGGAACUGAGACACGGUCCAAACUCCUACGGGAGGCAGCAGUGAGGAAUAUUGGUCAAUGGACGAGAGUCUGAACCAGCCAAGUAGCGUGCAGGAUGACGGCCCUAUGGGUUGUAAACUGCUUUUAUAAGGGAAUAAAGUGAGCCACGUGUGGCUUUUUGCAUGUACCUUAUGAAUAAGGACCGGCUAAUUCCGUGCCAGCCGCCGCGGUAA